rnacentral:rRNA from 1 species
AACGAACGCUGGCGGCAGGCUUAACACAUGCAAGUCGAGCGCCCAGCAAUGGGAGCGGCGGACGGGUGAGUAACACGUGGGAAUAUGCCUUUCGGUACGGAACAACUCAGGGAAACUUGAGCUAAUGCCGUAUACGCCCUUACGGGGAAAGAUUUAUCGCCGAAAGAUUAGCCCGCGUCUGAUUAGCUUGUUGGUGAGGUAACGGCUCACCAAGGCGACGAUCAGUAGCUGGUUUGAGAGAACGACCAGCCACACUGGGACUGAGACACGGCCCAGACUCCUACGGGAGGCAGCAGUGGGGAAUCUUGGACAAUGGGGGAAACCCUGAUCCAGCCAUGCCGCGUGAGUGAUGAAGGCCUUCGGGUUGUAAAACUCUUUCGGCGGGGAAGAUAAUGACGGUACCCGCAGAAGAAGCCCCGGCUAACUUCGUGCCAGCAGCCGCCGCAGUAA